UGAGCUGGGAAGGGUCUACGAUUUACUAGAGGUAAGACCAACUGGCACCGGAUGUGAGCUGGGAAGGGUCUACGAUUUACUAGAGGUAAGACCAACUGGCACCGGAUGUGAGCUGGGAAGGGUCUACGAUUUACUAGAGGUAAGA